rnacentral:rRNA from 1 species
UACAGAGGGUGCAAACGUUGUUCGGAAUUACUGGGCGUAAAGCGCACGUAGGCGGCUUGGUAUGUCGGGUGUGAAAUCCCCGGGCUCAACCUGGGAACUGCAUCCGAAACUGCCUUGCUCGAGUAUGGGAGAGGGAAGUGGAAUUUCCGGUGUAGCGGUGAAAUGCGUAGAUAUCUGGAGGAAUACCGAUGGCGAAGGCAGCCCCCUGGGUUAACACUGACGCUCAUGUACGAAAGCGUGGGGAGCAAACAGG